rnacentral:rRNA from 1 species
GAUGUACAUUAUACAUAACUACGUUAAAGUGUAGCUAACAUAUGUACAGUAAGAGUGAGACCUAUCAGCUAGUUGUUAAGGUAAUGGCUUAACAAGGCAAUAACGGGUAACGGUAUUACUUUGUAAUAUUCCGGAGAAGGAGCCUGAGAGACGGCUACUAAGUCUAAGGAUUGCAGCAGGGGCGAAACUUGACCUAUGGAUAUUAUCUGAGGCAGUUAUGGGAAGUAACAUAGUUGUUUCACAUUUUAAACGUAUGUGAGCAGAUUAAUUGGAGGGCAAAUCGAGUGCCAGCAGCCGCGGUAAUACUUGUUCCAAGAGUGUGUAUGAUGAUUGAUGCAGUUAAAAAGUCCGUAGUUUAUUGUUAAGAAGCAAUAUGAGGUGUACUGUAUAGUUGGGAGAGAGAUGAAAUGUGACGACCCUGACUGGACGAACUGAAGCGAAAGCUGUACACUUGUAUGUAUUUUUUGAACAAGGACGUAAGCUGGAGGAUCGAAGAUGAUUAGAUACCAUUGUAGUUCCAGCAGUAAACUAUGCCGACGAUGUGAUAUGAGAUGUUGUAUUACAUUAUAGAAAUUAGAGUUUUUUGGCUCUGGGGAUAGUAUGAUCGCAAGAUUGAAAAUUAAAGAAAUUGACGGAAGAAUACCAC